UUUCUUCUUUUCUUUGGG
rnacentral:misc_RNA from 1 species